UACGAACUGUGCAACCGUUAUUCGGAAUCACUGGGCUUAAAGGGUGCGUAGGUGGCUUGGUAAGUUUGAUGUGAAAUCUCCGGGCUUAACCCGGAAAUGGCAUUGAAUACUAUUGAGCUGGAGGUUUGGAGGGGGGACUGGAAUUCUCGGUGUAGCAGUGAAAUGCGUAGAUAUCGAGAGGAACACCAGUGGCGAAGGCGAGUCCCUGGACAAUUGCUGACGCUCAGGCACGAAAGCGUGGGGAGCAAAAGGG
rnacentral:rRNA from 1 species